rnacentral:rRNA from 1 species
GAUGAACGCUGGCGGCGUGCCUAAUACAUGCAAGUCGAGCGAACAGACGAGGAGCUUGCUCCUCUGACGUUAGCGGCGGACGGGUGAGUAACACGUGGAUAACCUACCUAUAAGACUGGGAUAACUUCGGGAAACCGGAGCUAAUACCGGAUAAUAUAUUUAACCGCAUGGUUCAAUAUUGAAAGACGGUUUUGCUGUCACUUAUAGAUGGAUCCGCGCCGCAUUAGCUAGUUGGUAAGGUAACGGCUUACCAAGGCAACGAUGCGUAGCCGACCUGAGAGUGUGAUCGGCCACACUGGAACUGAGACACGGACCAGACUCCUACGGGAGGCAGCAGUAGGGAAUCUUCCGCAAUGGGCGAAAGCCUGACGGAGCAACGCCGCGUGAGUGAUGAAGGUCUUCGGAUCGUAAAACUCUGUUAUUAGGGAAGAACAAAUGUGUAAGUAACUAUGCACGUCUUGACGGUACCUAAUCAGAAAGCCACGGCUAACUACGUG